GAUUUCGCCAUGUUGGCCAGGCUGGUCUCGAACUCCUGACCUCAGGUGGGCGGAUCGCGAGGUCAGGAAAUUGAGACCAUCCUGGCUAACACGGUGAAACCCAGUCUCUACUAAAAACACACACACACACAAAAAUUAGCCGGGCGUGGUGGUGGGCACCUGUAGUCCCACCUACUCGGGAGGCUGAGGCAGGAGAAUGGCGUGAACCCGGGAGGCGGAGCUGGCAGUGAGCUGAGAUCGCGCCACUGCACUCCAGCCUGGGUGACAGAGCGAGACUCCGUCUCAAAAAAAAAAAGAAUAUUUACUUUAUACAAAUUAAUCGGUAGUUUGAAAUUAACUGGGAAAUAUGUCUUAAUGGGAUAUGAGCAAGGAAUGGAGGAUAUUACAAAAUAGAAGAGCCAUAAUUUCAGGAAGAAAAAUGUUAGCAAACUUAAUAACAAGCAUGUAUAUUUCAACAAGUCUGUGUAUUUCAUCUUAUUUUUCUCAUUUUGCCACAGAUCCUCAUAGGGCCUUAAAUUGAGAUGGGCAUUUGGAAACUUCUGCUUUAAAACUUAGGAAGAUUCCUAAGUGUCUUCUGACAAAAGCUGAUAGAUUUAUAAUAGUGUAGUUUUAUGUAUUUUUUGUAGUCUAUGGUACUUUUAUUUGAAAUUCUUUGAAAAUUGGUCAUUCAUGUAUGAUAUACAUGACAACUAAACUCAUUAAUUGGAAAAGCCCACUCUUUAACCAUUGUCUUAAUGAUUAAAUGUGUUUUUCCAUUUGUAUGUGAAAAUAUACAAACUUUUAAAACAAUGAAAAUGAGUUUCUUAAUAUGAAUGGUAAACAUUAAAACUUGUUAAUAUUCAUUAAGUUCAAAAUGGAUCAAAAUUUUUCAUAUAUUUCUGAGACUUGAAAAUGAAAAGAUUAAGAAUGACUGGUAAACUAAUAAAGGUUAUUGUGAACAC
rnacentral:lncRNA from 10 species